GGUAAGGUGGCUGAGAUAAGCGGUGGAUUGUAGCCCCAUAGACAAAGGUUCGAGUCCUUUUCUUACCA
rnacentral:tRNA from 1 species